rnacentral:rRNA from 1 species
GCUUGUCUCAAAGAUUAAGCCAUGCAUGUCUAAGUAUAAGCGACUAUACUGUGAAACUGCGAAUGGCUCAUUAAAUCAGUUAUGGUUUAUUUGAUGGUACCUACUACUUGGAUAACCGUAGUAAUUCUAGAGCUAAUACAUGCAGGAAGACCCGACUCACGAAGGGUUGUAUUUAUUAGAUAAGAAACCUUCCCCUUUGGGUUGCGUGCCGAGUCACAAUAACUGCUCGAAUCGCAUGGCUUCACGCCGGCGAUGGUUCAUUCAAAUUUCUGCCCUAUCAACUUUCGAUGUUUGGGUAGUGGCCAAACAUGGUUGCAACGGGUAACGGAGGGUUAGGGCUCGACCCCGGAGAAGGAGCCUGAGAAACGGCUACUACAUCCAAGGAAGGCAGCAGG